rnacentral:rRNA from 1 species
AGUUCAGAUUGCAGGCUGCAACUCGCCUGCAUGAAGUUGGAAUUGCUAGUAAUCGCGAAUCAGAAUGUCGCGGUGAAUACGUUCCCGGGCCUUGUACACACCGCCCGUCACACCAUGAGAGUCGAUAACACCCGAAGCCUGUGAGCUAACCUUUUAGGAGGCAGCAGUCGAGGGUAGAAUCAAUGAUUGGGGUGAAGUCGUAACAAGGUACC